AUUGAACGCUGGCGGUAUGCCUUACACAUGCAAGUCGAACGGCAGCACGGGGGCAACCCUGGUGGCGAGUGGCGAACGGGUGAGUAAUGCAUCGGAACGUGCCCAGUAGUGGGGGAUAACUAGUCGAAAGAUUAGCUAAUACCGCAUACGACCUACGGGUGAAAGCGGGGAUUCGCAAGAACCUCGCGCUAUCGGAGCGGCCGAUGUCUGAUUAGCUAGUUGGCGGGGUAAAAGCCCACCAAGGCUUCGAUCAGUAGCUGGUCUGAGAGGACGACCAGCCACACUGGGACUGAGACACGGCCCAGACUCCUACGGGAGGCAGCAGUGGGGAAUUUUGGACAAAUGGGCGCAAGCCUGAUCCANCCAUGCCGCGUGCGGGAAGAAGGCCUCGG
rnacentral:rRNA from 1 species